rnacentral:rRNA from 1 species
CCUACGGGAGACAGCAGUGAGGAAUAUUGGUCAAUGGACGAGAGUCUGAACCAGCCAAGUAGCGUGAAGGAUGACUGCCCUAUGGGUUGUAAACUUCUUUUAUAUGGGAAUAAAAUGUUCCACGUGUAGGAUUUUGUAUGUACCAUAUGAAUAAGGAUCGGCUAACUCCGUGCCCGCAGCCGCGGUAAUACGGAGGAUCCGAGCGUUAUCCGGAUUUAUUGGGUUUAAAGGGUGCGUAGGUGGAUUGUUAAGUCAGUUGUGAAAGUUUGCGGCUCAACCGUAAAAUUGCAGUUGAAACUGGCAGUCUGGAGUACAGUAGAGGUGGGCGGAAUACGUGGUGUAGCGGUGAAAUGCUUAGAUAUAACGAAGAACUCCGAUAGCGAAGGCAGUUCACUGGACUGCAACUGACACUGAGGCUCGAAAGUGUGGGUAUCAAACAGGAUUAGAUACCCGAGUAGUC